ensembl:snRNA
UAGAAAUACAAAAUGAGAGCAGGACGGCACUUCCCUUGGUUAGGAUGGAAGAAGUCCUAAUGGACUAAACCGUGUUUAAGGCUGGCACUUACUUUGUGGCAUCUAAUGUAUGUCC